rnacentral:rRNA from 1 species
CCUACGGGAGGCAGCAGUAGGGAAUAUUGCUCAAUGGGGGAAACCCUGAUGCAGCGACGCCGCGUGAGUGAAGAAGUAUUUCGGUAUGUAAAGCUUUAUCAGCAGGGAAGAAAAUUACGGUACCUGACUAAGAAUCCCCGGCUAACGACGUGCCAGCAUCCGCGGUAAUCCGUCGGGGGCCAGCGGUAUCCGGAUUUACUGGGGGUAAAGGGAGCGUAGACGGCAGCGCAAGUCUGAAGUGAAAGCACAUGUCUUAACCAUGGCACUGCUUUGGAAACUGUGCAGCUGGAGUGCAGGAGAGGUAAGCGGAAUUCGUGGUGUAGCGGUGAAAUGCGUAGAUAUUAGGAGGAACACCAGUGGCGAAGGCGGCUUACUGGACUGUAACUGACGUUGAGGCUCGAAAGCGUGGGGAGCAAACAGGAUUAGAUACCCCUGUAGUC